GGGCCCGUAGCUCAGCGGUAGAGCAGGGGACUCAUAAUCCCUUGGCCGCUGGUUCGAAUCCAGCCGGGCCCA
rnacentral:tRNA from 1 species